AUUGAACGCUGGCGGCAGGCUUAAAACAUGCAAGUCGAGCGAGCCGCGGACGGGUGAGUAAGGUCUGGGAAACUGCCUGAUGGAGGGGGAUAACUACUGGAAACUGUAGCUAAUACCGCAUACCAUCAGAUGUGCCCAGAUGGGAUUAGCUAGUAGGGGGGGUAAUGGCUCGCCUAGGCGACGAUCCCUAGCUGGUCUGAGAGGAUGACCAGCCACACUGGAACUGAGACACGGUCCAGACUACGACGGGAGGCACCAGUGGGGAAUAUUGCACAAUGGGCGCAAGCCUGAUGCAGCCAUGCCGCGUGUGUGAAGAAGGUCUUCGGGUUGUAAAGCACUUUCAGCGAGGAGGCGUUACUAGCAGAAGAAGCACCGGCUAACUCCGUGCCAGCAGCCGCGGUAAUUC
rnacentral:rRNA from 1 species